GCGGCCGUAGCUCAAUUGGUUAGAGCACCCGCCUGUCACGCGGGAGGCUGAGAGUUCGAGUCUCUUCGGCCGCGCAA
rnacentral:tRNA from 1 species